CGUACGGGAACCCGGGUGAAAGCCUGGGGUGCCCGCGAGGGAGCCCUAGCACAGGUGCUGCAUGGCCGUCGUCAGCUCGUGCCGUGAGGUGUUGGGUUAAGUCCCGCAACGAGCGCAACCCCGCCGUUAGUUGCCAGCGGUUCGGCCGGGCACUCUAACGGGACUGCCCGCGAAAGCGGGAGGAAGGAGGGGACGACGUCUGGUCAGCAUGGCCCUUACGGCCUGGGCGACACACGUGCUACAAUGCCCACUACAAAGCGAUGCCACCCGGCAACGGGGAGCUAAUCGCAAAAAAGGUGGGCCCAGUUCGGAUUGGGGUCUGCAACCCGACCCCAUGAAGCCGGAAUCGCUAGUAAUCGCGGAUCAGCCAUGCCGCGGUGAAUACGUUCCCGGGCCCU
rnacentral:rRNA from 1 species